ensembl:snRNA U6 U6 spliceosomal RNA
GUACUCGCUUCAGCAGUACAUACACUAAAAUUGGAACAAUACAGAGAAGAUUAGCAGGGCCCCUGCACAAGAAUAACAGGCAAAUUUGUGAAGCAUUCCAUAUUUUU